rnacentral:piRNA from 1 species
UGUUUUCUUGGAUGGAAUUCUCAAUUA